UGAGGGAAAGGCGAAAAGAACCCCGGCGAGGGGAGUGAAAAAGAACCUGAAACCGUGUACGUACAAGCAGUGGGAGCACGCUUAGGCGUGUGACUGCGUACCUUUUGUAUAAUGGGUCAGCGACUUAUAUUCUGUAGCAAGGUUAACCGAAUAGGGGAGCCGAAGGGAAACCGAGUCUUAACUGGGCGUUAAGUUGCAGGGUAUAGACCCGAAACCCGGUGAUCUAGCCAUGGGCAGGUUGAAGGUUGGGUAACACUAACUGGAGGACCGAACCGACUAAUGUUGAAAAAUUAGCGGAUGACUUGUGGCUGGGGGUGAAAGGCCAAUCAAACCGGGAGAUAGCUGGUUCUCCCCGAAAGCUAUUUAGGUAGCGCCUCGUGAAUUCAUCUCCGGGGGUAGAGCACUGUUUCGGCAAGGGGGUCAUCCCGACUUACCAACCCGAUGCAAACUGCGAAUACCGGAGAAUGUUAUCACGGGAGACACACGGCGGGUGCUAACGUCCGUCGUGAAGAGGGAAACAACCCAGACCGCCAGCUAAGGUCCCAAAGUCAUGGUUAAGUGGGAAACGAUGUGGGAAGGCCCAGACAGCCAGGAUGUUGGCUUAGAAGCAGCCAUCAUUUAAAGAAAGCGUAAUAGCUCACUGGUCGAGUCGGCCUGCGCGGAAGAUGUAACGGGGCUAAACCAUGCACCGAAGCUGCGGCAGCGACGCUGAUGCGUUGUUGGGUAGGGGAGCGUUCUGUAAGCCUGUGAAGGUGUGCUGUGAGGCAUGCUGGAGGUAUCAGAAGUGCGAAUGCUGACAUAAGUAACGAUAAAGCGGGUGAAAAGCCCGCUCGCCGGAAGACCAAGGGUUCCUGUCCAACGUUAAUCGGGGCAGGGUGAGUCGACCCCUAAGGCGAGGCCGAAAGGCGUAGUCGAUGGGAAACAGGUUAAUAUUCCUGUACUUGGUGUUACUGCGAAGGGGGGACGGAGAAGGCUAUGUUGGCCGGGCGACGGUUGUCCCGGUUUAAG
rnacentral:rRNA from 1 species